rnacentral:lncRNA from 1 species
UGUAGUCACCCCAGCCGCAGCCACAGCCCUCAGCAAAUUCACGGGACAGGCGCACAGGGCUCUGGGGCCUGGCGCAACCGCGCGGCCCGCAGCAACUGGUGUCUCUCCGGGGCGCAGCUCCGCCCUUCCCGGGAACAAAAGCCGCCGCCCGCGCAGGAGCUCCUGGCGCGCGGGCCGAGAAGGGGCCGAAUGGGGCCGGGACACACGUCGAUGGCCAUAUGCUCCUGGAUGCUGAUGGUCGCCUUCUCCCCGCGCCGCCGGAGGGUCAUGCAGGCAGCGCCGCGGCGCGCGGCCCGGCCCGGCCCGGUGUGACCCCGGCCCGGGGGCAAGUCAGCGGGUCCCGCGGGGCGCUGCGGGGGCUGCGGUCAUCGCCAGCGUGGCCCCCGGACGGCCCUGACGCGGCUGCUGCCUGCUCGGCGGCGGCCGGUGCGAGUGAGUGCGGGGCCGGCAGCAGGGGGCGGGCCCAGCCCGCGUCACCCGGCAGCAACCAAGCGGGAAGGACACCUGCCCCCAUUUUGGGGGAAUGGAAAUGGCUCAAAUGUGCUGAGCAUGUCUGAGGGAACUCUACCAUUGAUGGUCGUUUGUACCAGGGCUGCACCAGCUAGGGUGGAUGCUGAGGAGCUAGCUGAAGCCACGUACCCUCCAGGACCUCUGCGGGAGGCAGCUGUAUGUGGUUUGGCCCUAAAUGUUCACGAGGGAUCUCAGGAGGCUCUGGUGGGUACAGAGAGCCGAAGGCUCACUGAAGCCGAGACUCCAUCUCUGUAGUUAUGCACACAUGCUUUGGGAUCACCUCUGCUUGGGCUACCAGGUUGCUUGCUGUCUGAGAUGCUUCUGUGCUUCUGGAUUUUGACGGACAUUGUAGAUCACUCUCCACUCAUCACUCGGAGCGUGGGGAUUGUGGUCUUUGGAAGAGAGAGAGACUCCGUGUGAAAAUUCUCGUGUUUAUAAUGUUAGUGCUGAUGGGUUACGUGUCACAGGGACAUGGCACACACACACACACGCGCGCGCGCGCGCGCGCGCACUUUCUGCAGCAGUGUUCUGUCAGCUGAGAUUGAAUUGAAGCAGCAGCAGCAGAGGAAGUGCUGAUCACUCAGGAAAACUGACUGUAGGUAAAGGCAGGAGGGCCUUGAAUUGCCAAGGAUGGUUAUGGCUCAGUGGAUUAAAGGUGCUUGCCACUAACCUGCCGGUCUGAGUUAGAAGAAGAGAACCCACUUCUGCAAGCUGUCCUCUGACCGCCGCCUGAACCCACCCCCUGAAAUAAAUAUAAUAAGGAUCAAGAAAUCUGGAUCUUGGGGUGUCUGUGUUCAGAGACUGGCAAGAGGAUGGGCUGCCUGCCUGCCUGGCUCUGAUGGGCUCUCGUCCCUGCCAUGCCCCUGGGAAGACUGAGGAAUCAAGCUGGGACCUUCUGCAAUGUCAACCUUGCCCUGGCACGGACAGACAGUCCAGAAGGAGAGCUGUGGAGAUGUGGACCAGGAGAACUUUCCUUUGUGAUGUGUGGAUGGAAGCUUGGGUCUGGUGCAUGCAAGGUACCCAAAUGGAACAAAUCCAAAACCCUGAAGUACGUACUUUCUGGGGCAGAUCUGGAAGGUAACUAGUAUAGCAUCUAAGAUCUCGAAGGUAUCAUCUAGGAAGAAAUACCCAGCUCAGGAGGACCAGGGCAGGAAGAAGGAAGUGGCUGAAGACUGGAGGGACAGGCUGUGACCUAGGCUUUCUAAUAUCUGCCAUCUCUAAGGGGAUGAAGAGGUAGAGGUUAUAAUAUGAACUUUUCCAGGCCUACCCACAUCAUAGUACACACACACACACACACACACACACACACACACACACACACACAUACAUUCAUUCAUUCGUCUCGGUCUCUACACACACAAAGGGAAUCAGACAGAUAUUAAUAUAUAACUACAAAAAUGGAAGUAUUAAGAUUUUUUUUUCCUUUUUGAGACAGUGUAUCCCUAGCUGGUUUGGAACUUGCUAUAUAGACCAGGCUGGCCUUGAACUCACAGAGGCCUCCCAAAUGCUGGCAUUAAAGGCAGCACCACCGUAAUCCAGGAAAAAAACAGCACACGACAUGAAGAGAGUCGGGUCACCUCCCGAACCUACUGUUCCUCAUUUCCUGCUUAUCAGUGAUGUGAUGGGGACAAGAAAGCGAGAUGCGAGACAGAGUACAAAUGAGAAUUCUCCUCAGUCAGCCAGUCAAUGGGCUAGAGUUGACCCAGAAUGGACACAUUGCAGUAAGUCCUAUGAACUCUGCAUCCAUCCAUAUAUCCAUCCAUAUAUCCAUCCAUCCAUCCACCCACCCAUCCACCCAUCCAUCAUCCAUCCACCCAUCCAUCCAUUCAUGCAUCCAUCUGUCCAUCUGUCCGAGGUAUUCUCUUGCUUUCACUUCACAAGUUCUAUAA